UAGGUAUACGGCGGGCUGUUGGCAAGCCCGGGGAACGUGGUAAUUCGGGGCGUGACAGAUUAAGUUAGUAUCAGAGUAGGAUUAGGUCGUUGGGACGUAGGAGACCUUAGGCUUUGGUAGACCUUAGGAAAGCAUGACGUGAGAAACGUGACUUAUUGCGAAAGUCAGUAAUUGAGUUAUUUUUCCUUCUCCUAGAGUGGAAAGAGUGACUGAAGGAGUGUUUGGUUUCGCUGCAGCAGACAGCAUAAUUUCACGGAGGAACAGGGACGACCUCCUAGACUUUCGUUUAAUUGGG
rnacentral:lncRNA from 1 species